rnacentral:misc_RNA from 1 species
UUCMUCACYGACGUCGAUCGGCGUGCUGCAAUCCGUAAGGAAUCCACCACAACCGAUGCGAACGUCGUUCGCACGUAGCGUYGAACGCGUGGGGCAGAUAGAGGCCGAGGCCUCGUGCCCACAACAUGUUCCGCAUCCGAGAUUUCGAGCAUUGCGCCUUGGGUGGGCUACACGAGCGCAUGCGCGCACGCACACGAGUGCCAACCACGACGCAUGCUACGGGUUCCAAUCCGCACCACGACACCAUUGGGCGACGCAGAGCGGAAUGGAAAAGGGACGAUUUUGCCUGCAUAAUGCCUUGAAGAUAGGUAUCGAGCACAGGAGGCCGCAAUCGAACAGGGCUUGGUGGCCCUUGUGCCGAUGAUUGAAGAGGCGCGGU